CUAUCCAAGAGAAUAAACCCAAAAGGGCGGUCACUGAGCACAAAAACAGAGGAGAGCACAGCUUCUCUGCAGGUGGCAGGAACUGAAAAAGAGGAGAGGGUGGCAGAGGUUAUGAAAGAAGUAUUCAAGUUGGAACCGUGCUGAAAAGUUCCGUCUUAGAGGCCUGCAAGACAUGAACUACUGAAGAAACAGUCCAAAGGUCCCAAUGAAAAAGCUGUGACAAGCUGUAAUGUGCCAUUUCAAUUACAA